rnacentral:rRNA from 1 species
UGGGGAAUUUUGGACAAUGGGCGAAAGCCUGAUCCAGCAAUGCCGCGUGUGUGAAGAAGGCCUUCGGGUUGUAAAGCACUUUUGUCCGGAAAGAAAUCCUUGGCUCUAAUACAGUCGGGGGAUGACGGUACCGGAAGAAUAAGCACCGGCUAACUACGUGCCAGCAGCCGCGGUAAUACGUAGGGUGCAAGCGUUAAUCGGAAUUACUGGGCGUAAGCGUGCGCAGGCGGUUUGCUAAGACCGAUGUGAAAUCCCCGGGGCUCAACCUGGGAACUGCAUUGGUGACUGGCAGGCUAGAGUAUGGCAGAGGGGGGUAGAAUUCCACGUGUAGCAGUGAAAUGCGUAGAGAUGUGGAGGAAUACCGAUGGCGAAGGCAGCCCCCUGGGCCAAUACUGACGCUCAUGCACGAAAGCGUGGGGAGCAAACAGGAUUAGAUACCCUGGUAGUCCACGCCCUAAACGAUGUCAACUAGUUGUUGGGGAUUCAUUUCCUUAGUAACGUAGCUAACGCGUGAAGUUGACCGCCUGGGGAGUACGUCGCAAGAUU